UGGGGAAUUUUGGACAAUGGGGGCAACCCUGAUCCAGCCAUGCCGCGUGAGUGAAGAAGGCCUUCGGGUUGUAAAGCUCUUUCGGCCGGGAAGAAAUCGUGCAGGCUAAUACCCUGUAUGGAUGACGGUACCGGAAUAAGAAGCACCGGCUAACUACGUGCCAGCAGCCGCGGUAAUACGUAGGGUGCGAGCGUUAAUCGGAAUUACUGGGCGUAAAGCGUGCGCAGGCGGUUUUGUAAGACAGGCGUGAAAUCCCCGGGCUCAACCUGGGAACUGCGCUUGUGACUGCAAGACUAGAGUACGGCAGAGGGGGGUGGAAUUCCACGUGUAGCAGUGAAAUGCGUAGAGAUGUGGAGGAACACCAAUGGCGAAGGCAGCCCCCUGGGUCGAUACUGACGCUCAUGCACGAAAGCGUGGGGAGCAAACA
rnacentral:rRNA from 1 species